rnacentral:rRNA from 1 species
AGCGUACACGGUGGAUGCCCUGGCAGUCAGAGGCGAUGAAGGACGUGCUAAUCUGCGAUAAGCGUCGGUAAGGUGAUAUGAACCGUUAUAACCGGCGAUUUCCGAAUGGGGAAACCCAGUGUGUUUCGACACACUAUCAUUAACUGAAUCCAUAGGUUAAUGAGGCGAACCGGGGGAACUGAAACAUCUAAGUACCCCGAGGAAAAGAAAUCAACCGAGAUUCCCCCAGUAGCGGCGAGCGAACGGGGAGGAGCCCAGAGCCUGAAUCAGUGUGUGUGUUAGUGGAAGCGUCUGGAAAGGCGCGCGAUACAGGGUGACAGCCCCGUACACAAAAAUACACAUAUUGUGAGCUCGAUGAGUAGGGCGGGACACGUGGUAUCCUGUCUGAAUAUGGGGGGACCAUCCUCCAAGGCUAAAUACUCCUGACUGACCGAUAGUGAACCAGUACCGUGAGGGAAAGGCGAAAAGAACCCCGGCGAGGGGAGUGAAAAAGAACCUGAAACCGUGUACGUACAAGCAGUGGGAGCACGCUUAGGCGUGUGACUGCGUACCUUUUGUAUAAUGGGUCAGCGACUUAUAUUCUGUAGCAAGGUUAACCGAAUAGGGGAGCCGAAGGGAAACCGAGUCUUAACUGGGCGUUAAGUUGCAGGGUAUAGACCCGAAACCCGGUGAUCUAGCCAUGGGCAGGUUGAAGGUUGGGUAACACUAACUGGAGGACCGAACCGACUAAUGUUGAAAAAUUAGCGGAUGACUUGUGGCUGGGGGUGAAAGGCCAAUCAAACCGGGAGAUAGCUGGUUCUCCCCGAAAGCUAUUUAGGUAGCGCCUCGUGAAUUCAUCUCCGGGGGUAGAGCACUGUUUCGGCAAGGGGGUCAUCCCGACUUACCAACCCGAUGCAAACUGCGAAUACCGGAGAAUGUUAUCACGGGAGACACACGGCGGGUGCUAACGUCCGUCGUGAAGAGGGAAACAACCCAGACCGCCAGCUAAGGUCCCAAAGUCAUGGUUAAGUGGGAAACGAUGUGGGAAGGCCCAGACAGCCAGGAUGUUGGCUUAGAAGCAGCCAUCAUUUAAAGAAAGCGUAAUAGCUCACUGGUCGAGUCGGCCUGCGCGGAAGAUGUAACGGGGCUAAACCAUGCACCGAAGCUGCGGCAGCGACGCUUAUGCGUUGUUGGGUAGGGGAGCGUUCUGUAAGCCUGUGAAGGUGUGCUGUGAGGUAUGCUGGAGGUAUCAGAAGUGCGAAUGCUGACAUAAGUAACGAUAAAGCGGGUGAAAAGCCCGCUCGCCGGAAGACCAAGGGUUCCUGUCCAACGUUAAUCGGGGCAGGGUGAGUCGACCCCUAAGGCGAGGCCGAAAGGCGUAGUCGAUGGGAAACAGGUUAAUAUUCCUGUACUUGGUGUUACUGCGAAGGGGGGACGGAGAAGGCUAUGUUGGCCGGGCGACGGUUGUCCCGGUUUAAGCGUGUAGGCUGGUUUUCCAGGCAAAUCCGGAAAAUCAAGGCUGAGGCGUGAUGACGAGGCACUACGGUGCUGAAGCAACAAAUGCCCUGCUUCCAGGAAAAGCCUCUAAGCAUCAGGUAACAUCAAAUCGUACCCCAAACCGACACAGGUGGUCAGGUAGAGAAUACCAAGGCGCUUGAGAGAACUCGGGUGAAGGAACUAGGCAAAAUGGUGCCGUAACUUCGGGAGAAGGCACGCUGAUAUGUAGGUGAAGCGACUUGCUCGUGGAGCUGAAAUCAGUCGAAGAUACCAGCUGGCUGCAACUGUUUAUUAAAAACACAGCACUGUGCAAACACGAAAGUGGACGUAUACGGUGUGACGCCUGCCCGGUGCCGGAAGGUUAAUUGAUGGGGUCAGCGCAAGCGAAGCUCUUGAUCGAAGCCCCGGUAAACGGCGGCCGUAACUAUAACGGUCCUAAGGUAGCGAAAUUCCUUGUCGGGUAAGUUCCGACCUGCACGAAUGGCGUAAUGAUGGCCAGGCUGUCUCCACCCGAGACUCAGUGAAAUUGAACUCGCUGUGAAGAUGCAGUGUACCCGCGGCAAGACGGAAAGACCCCGUGAACCUUUACUAUAGCUUGACACUGAACAUUGAGCCUUGAUGUGUAGGAUAGGUGGGAGGCUUUGAAGUGUGGACGCCAGUCUGCAUGGAGCCGACCUUGAAAUACCACCCUUUAAUGUUUGAUGUUCUAACGUUGACCCGUAAUCCGGGUUGCGGACAGUGUCUGGUGGGUAGUUUGACUGGGGCGGUCUCCUCCUAAAGAGUAACGGAGGAGCACGAAGGUUGGCUAAUCCUGGUCGGACAUCAGGAGGUUAGUGCAAUGGCAUAAGCCAGCUUGACUGCGAGCGUGACGGCGCGAGCAGGUGCGAAAGCAGGUCAUAGUGAUCCGGUGGUUCUGAAUGGAAGGGCCAUCGCUCAACGGAUAAAAGGUACUCCGGGGAUAACAGGCUGAUACCGCCCAAGAGUUCAUAUCGACGGCGGUGUUUGGCACCUCGAUGUCGGCUCAUCACAUCCUGGGGCUGAAGUAGGUCCCAAGGGUAUGGCUGUUCGCCAUUUAAAGUGGUACGCGAGCUGGGUUUAGAACGUCGUGAGACAGUUCGGUCCCUAUCUGCCGUGGGCGCUGGAGAACUGAGGGGGGCUGCUCCUAGUACGAGAGGACCGGAGUGGACGCAUCACUGGUGUUCGGGUUGUCAUGCCAAUGGCACUGCCCGGUAGCUAAAUGCGGAAGAGAUAAGUGCUGAAAGCAUCUAAGCACGAAACUUGCCCCGAGAUGAGUUCU